CAACCUAUCUACAUCUGCAUGUUGAAAGUUCUGUAAAUAAGUGACUUAUACAAACAGAAGAUGGACUCAGUGAAGUGAUCCAGAUGAAGAUUUCCAAGGGUCAACAAUAAAUGCACAAAUGCAAAAAGAUACAGUGAGCUCUGAAGUGGACGGAAUUGACAGGAAGAGUUAAAAGAUAUUGUAACUGUACUGAAAAAAAGAACUGGUAUUAUCAACAUAUGAUGAAUAUUCUACCGAAUGUCAACAAAAACUAUAAGCCAUUAUUGCAGGGACAACAGAGAUUAGCAAUGACAAGAAAGACAUUCAUGAACUAGAAAUUAAAUAACCUUUGAUGUAUUGUUAUAUAAGUGUGCAUUGAUUUAGUUUAAAAGAAUAUGGAAUAAAAUAUAGAUGUUUGUAUAUAAAGUUUGUAUCUAUAAGGUGUUUUAUUGUAACAGCAUGCAAUACUGCUCUGAAUGAUAGAAAUACAGACUUUUACAUUAA